UACGAAGGUCCCAAGCGUUAUCCGGAUUUAUUGGGUUUAAAGGGUGCGUAGGCGGGCUAUUAAGUCAGUGGUGAAAGCCCCAAGCUUAACUUGGGAACUGCCGUUGAUACUGAUGGUCUUGAGUACAUUUGAGGUGGGCGGAAUGUGUCAUGUAGCGGUGAAAUGCUUAGAUAUGACACAGAACACCGAUUGCGAAGGCAGCUCACUAAACUGUAACUGACGCUGAGGCACGAAAGCGUGGGGAGCAAACAGG
rnacentral:rRNA from 1 species